GCAGCACUGAGAAGUGAAGGAAUAUUUGGGAGGAUCAGAAGCUUGGUCCUGAUUUUGCCAUCAACAGGAACUUGAUGACUUCAAGGGAGUCCCCAAACCCUGGGUUUCUGUUUUCUCAACUCUAACAUGAGGGGCUAGAUGCAUCUGGUUUAGUUAGUCUCCAUGAUGGUUUAGUUCGUCUCCAUGAUCCUGUGAAUUUCAGAUGUUGAAAAUCUUCGGAAAAGCCCUGAAAGAUGAACAGUCUUCACCAACCUCCUCCCUCCAGAAUAUUCCUCAAGAAUAUAAAAUGCCUCAUCAACAUGAGACAACAGCAGGAAGCACCCAUUCGUAGUAAUCCUCUGUAUGGAGGAGGCUGUUACAUAACCACAAAGGCACAAAGCUGCAGUUUUGAGAACAUCUUCCCACGCCAGUUCUAAGCAUUGACUUCAACUAUGGUUGCUAACACAAGAAUCGGCACUGGUGACUUUUGAGCCAUCAAUCAUCCUUUCCUAACACAUGAAUCUUUUGGAAAAUGGUCUCAAAUAGUCAAGACCCCCUGCUGGGAGGAGCUUCUAUCCUGCUCUGUGGAAGAAAUGGGCAUGCCAGAUGCCUG
rnacentral:lncRNA from 10 species